GAUGAACGCUGGCGGCGUGCUUAACACAUGCAAGUCGAACGGUGAACACGGAGCUUGCUCUGUGGGAUCAGUGGCGAACGGGUGAGUAACACGUGAGCAACCUGCCCCUGACUCUGGGAUAAGCGCUGGAAACGGCGUCUAAUACUGGAUACGAACCACGAAGGCAUCUUCAGUGGUUGGAAAGAAUUUCGGUUGGGGAUGGGCUCGCGGCCUAUCAGCUUGUUGGUGAGGUAAUGGCUCACCAAGGCGUCGACGGGUAGCCGGCCUGAGAGGGUGACCGGCCACACUGGGACUGAGACACGGCCCAGACUCCUACGGGAGGCAGCAGUGGGGAAUAUUGCACAAUGGGCGAAAGCCUGAUGCAGCAACGCCGCGUGAGGGAUGACGGCCUUCGGGUUGUAAACCUCUUUUAGCAGGGAAGAAGCGAAAGUGACGGUACCUGCAGAAAAAGCGCCGGCUAACUACGUGCCAGCAGCCGCGGUAACAC
rnacentral:rRNA from 1 species